UGAAGGGAGAAGUGCCCUAGUGCUGAGUGAUUUCUUCUCGUUCUUUUAACCAAACAUGCAAGGGAAAAAAUGCAAAUCAAGGACUUUGUUUGACCACCAGAACCACACCGGAUGUCAGGCGCAAAAAAAUAAGAAACUGUAAGGAUAACGUUACAGCGAUAAGCUAUUUUGCAGCCUUGCUUCUAUCAGCCUGCAACUAAAAAAGCAACUAAAUGAAAAAUGAACUUUGAAAGGAAAACUACUCUUUAACUAUGUAACAAAGUGUUGCAAAGCUUGCCCUGCCACCAAGUGGUCAAACACAGACAUCGGUUUGGAAAGUGCAGCAAAGCUACGCGCCAUGACGAACCCACACCAAAGGCCGCCCCAAGCCCAUGAAACGCACAUGAUGACAACAACGAGAAAGAUGGGACUCUCGUGUCAGCCUGUUGCCGCAUGAUCUACUUAUCCACAAGCCAGAUCAGGGGAAAGCGCGAAUGCAGUCCCCCACUACCAGAAAUUAUGCAGUCCACAUUUCCUGCAUUUGGGGAGAUUGCAGGGGUCAGCUCGGCCGGAGUGCAAUGAACAAGCCUUAUUCUGGGAGAACCACCUUCGUGAUCAUGCUAUCUCCCCUGCCAGGUAAGUAUGAAUUGCUUGCAAGAAAAGCUUGGCUGCUGCUCAAACACGAGGCCGGCAACUUCAGGAGACCGAUCUUCCCUUCUACCCACUCAUUUGGAUUCUGCCUCAAAUCUUUCCACCUUAAAACACCUCAAAAGAGCCUGCUCUUCCAUAAAUGCAACCUCACGUCUGACACCAUCUCCUUUUACGUCAAAUCGGACUUCUUCAAUGUACAAGGAGCCCUUCAAAGGUGGGAAAGGUGUUCCUGACAUCCCCACCAUGCUGAGAAGUUUGUUUGUGGGCAACUGCAUCCACUUGACUGCAAAAGGCAAGGACUCUUCUAGCAGCUCAAUGGUCCACAGGUUUUUUUUUUGUUAGUUUGUUUAUUUAAACAAGAGUGAGCGGGGGUGGGAAAGCUCCAACCCUUAUAGCCGGAACACCCUCACCCUCUCAGUUUUAUCUGAAUGCUGCAAAGUUUGGAACAACAACUGGAGAGGAAUCAAGGCCAACUUGGCGAAACCAAAGACUAUUCACAAGCUACAUGUUAAUCUGCAUGGGCAAUUGAGACAUUCUAUCACGUGGUCUUUCAGUGUCAUUUUGGUCCCUUGGUGUGGGCGUAUACAAUAAUUUCCCAGUAUGAUACCUGUGCAGUGAGUUGGCACAAUUUAGGCAGGGGACUGUGCCCUUCCUUUGACCAAUGACUUUUUUUUCUCAGCCUUACUUCUAUCAGCCCGCAUGACUCUUUCCCCCUAUGCUUUUACCAUUUCUUGUAACUGAAUCGAGGGAGGUUCUUAAAUCAUUUUCCAUAUACAUUAUCUUUUUGUAGCAUUUGCCAGUAUUUCUGUACCUAUAUAAAAAAGUCAUAAUUUCUGGUGUACUAUUUGAAAGCAACUAAAUAAAAAAAUGAAAUUUGGAAAGCAA